CAGUCGAACGAAGCAUUUGCGACAGAUUUUUUCGGAAUGAAGUUGCUUAUGACCGAUUGACGGACGGGUGAGUAACGCGUGGGUAACCUGCCUUGUACUGGGGGAUAGCAGCUGGAAACGGCUGGUAAUACCGCAUAAGCGCACAAUGUUGCAUGACAUGGUGUGAAAAACUCCGGUGGUAUAAGAUGGACCCGCGUCUGAUUAGCUAGUUGGUGAGAUAACAGCCCACCAAGGCGACGAUCAGUAGCCGACCUGAGAGGGUGACCGGCCACAUUGGGACGGAGACACGGCCCAGACUCCUACGGGAGGCAGCAGUGGGGAAUAUUGCACAAUGGAGGAAACUCUGAUGCAGCGACGCCGCGUGAGUGAAGAAGUAAUUCGUUAUGUAAAGCUCUAUCAGCAGGAAAGAUAGUGACGGUACCUGACUAAGAAGCUCCGGCUAAAUACGUGCCAGCAGCCGCGGUAAUACGUAUGGAGCAAGCGUUAUCCGGAUUUACUGGGUGUAAAGGGAGUGUAGGUGGCCAUGCAAGUCAGAAGUGAAAAUCCGGGGCUCAACCCCGGAACUGCUUUUGAAACUGUAAGGCUAGAGUGCAGGAGGGGUGAGUGGAAUUCCUAGUGUAGCGGUGAAAUGCGUAGAUAUUAGGAGGAACACCAGUGGCGAAGGCGGCUCACUGGACUGUAACUGACACUGAGGCUCGAAAGCGUGGGGAGCAAACAGGAUUAGAUACCCUGGUA
rnacentral:rRNA from 1 species